GAAAUGUAUUCCUGAGGAUUAAAUGAAUUACCAUGCAAGUUUAGCACACAGUGUGUGCCUGGCACAUUGUGCUCAUAAAUUCCCAUUGGUUGUAAGAGUCAGGUUGCAAGAACUGAGUUCUCAGGAACUCUUUCCCCUCCAUGGCCAGUUGUGUGCUUCAGUGGCAGUGGUGGUGACCUUGGUCACAAGACAAGAGGAUGGCAGAGCUACGGUCAGGUGGAGAGAGAACACCAGGGUUACCAGCAUUCAUGCAUCAGGAGGAGGUUGAUUCACAAUCCAGUAGUUAUUUGGAGUACAAAUGUGGGAGCCCCGGACUUUCUUUGUGAAUGGAGGCCUUAAGAUCUAUUCAAAAUCCCUGAAACCACAACCACAAGCGAAGGAUUGAUGACAUUCUGUGAUGACGUGGUAUGAGACACAUGGUGAUGGGAAUGUAUAGUGAUGGAGCAGUAGAGACUACCAUAUCCAGAUGUGAAAAUACAUUGCAAUAUGCACUCCUACUUCCAAAUCAAAGAUGGACUCCCGAUGAAACUGUUAGAAAUGUGCAGAUAACAGGAUGCUGGUCUGCCUGAACAUUGUCUGUACCAACAAUGUUCGGACACACUUAAAUAACAGAUUGAUGGAAUUAUAACUCCUUAUGAAGGA